rnacentral:tRNA from 2 species
GCUGGCAUAGCUCAGUCGGUAGAGCAGCUGAUUCGUAAUCAGCAGGUCGAGUGUUCAAGUCACUUUGCCAGCUCCA